rnacentral:rRNA from 1 species
GAUGAACGCUGGCGGCGUGCCUAAUACAUGCAAGUCGAGCGAACAGACGAGGAGCUUGCUCCUCUGACGUUAGCGGCGGACGGGUGAGUAACACGUGGAUAACCUACCUAUAAGACUGGGAUAACUUCGGGAAACCGGAGCUAAUACCGGAUAAUAUAUUGUAACACAUGGUUCAAUAGUGAAAGACGGUUUUGCUGUCACUUAUAGAGAGAUCCGCGCGUCAUUAGCUAGUUGGUAAGGUAACGGCUUACAAAGGAGACGAUGCGUAGCCGACCGGAGGGGGUGAUCGGCCACAGUGGAAGUGAGACACGGCACAGACUCCUACGGGAGGCAGCAGUAGGGAAUCUUGCGAAAUGGGCGAGAGCCUGCCGGAGCCACGCCGCGUGAGUGAUGAAGGUCUUCGGAUCGUAACACUCUUUUAUGAGGGAAGAACAAAUGUGUAAGUAACUAUGCUCGUCUUGACGGUACCUAACCAGAAAGCAACGGUUAACUACGU